GACGAACGCUGGCGGCGUGCUUAACACAUGCAAGUCGAACGGAAAGGCCCUGCUUUUGUGGGGUGCUCGAGUGGCGAACGGGUGAGUAACACGUGAGUAACCUGCCCUUGACUUUGGGAUAACUUCAGGAAACUGGGGCUAAUACCGGAUAGGAGCUCCUGCUGCAUGGUGGGGGUUGGAAAGUUUCGGCGGUUGGGGGUGGACUCGCGGCUUAUCGGCUUGUUGGUGGGGUAGUGGCUUACCAAGGCUUUGACGGGUAGCCGGCCUGAGAGGGUGACCGGCCACAUUGGGACUGAGAUACGGCCCAGACUCCUACGGGAGGCAGCAGUGGGGAAUAUUGCACAAUGGGCGGAAGCCUGAUGCAGCAACGCCGCGUGCGGGAUGACGGCCUUCGGGUUGUAAACCGCUUUCGCCUGUGACGAAGCGUGAGUGACGGUAAUGGGUAAAGAAGCACCGGCUAACUACGUG
rnacentral:rRNA from 1 species